rnacentral:tRNA from 3 species
UGGGGCGUAGCCAAGUGGUAAGGCAGCGGUUUUUGGUACCGCCAUUCGCAGGUUCGAAUCCUGCCGCCCCAG